UGUUUUAAUAAUUUAAUAAAAAUAAUGGUUUUGUAAACUAUAAAUAGAAUAAGUUCUUUAAAAC
rnacentral:tRNA from 1 species